AGAGUACUGUAAAGUCGGCGGAAUGAGCACGACACAAAUCUCUUAAAUCUGGGAAUUCAUAUUCGGAAUUCAGACGGAAUUCAGACGGAUUGAGCUCCGAGUAGAAGAUGUGCACGUGGACAUCUGUGAACACGUAAUACACACUCCAGAUCUGCAGAAUAACAGUCCAGACUCUUGUGUAUGUGACAA